ACGUAGGGGGCAAGCGUUAUCCGGAAUUAUUGGGCGCAAAGAGUGCGUAGGUGGUUUUUUAAGCGUGAGGUGAAAGGCAAUAGCUUAACUAUUGUAAGCCUUGCGAACUGGAAGACUUGAGUGCAGGAGAGGAAAGUGGAAUUCCUAGUGUAGCGGUGAAAUGCGUAGUUAUUAGGAGGAGCACCAGUGACGAAGGCGCCUUUCUGGACUGUAACUGACACUGAGGCAUAAAAGCGUGGAGAGCAAACAG
rnacentral:rRNA from 1 species